AAAAAGCCUCAGUGUCCAGGAGAUCUUUUUCAGCUAUUUUCAUGUUAUUCUUUUCUAGAUUUAGAGGAUCACCUCAAAGGAUGACAUUGAAAAUACAGUUGCAAGUAAUUCAGUAACAGCUGGGUUUGGUUCAUCCUCUACAAGUAACUUGAAGUGAAGAAGGAAAACAACUGAAUGAUCUACAACAGCAGUCAAGUGCCAGCAGCAUGCAUCUUGUAUUCUAAUCCCAGCAAGGGGCAACAGAGAACUAGAAGCAGAAGUUAAUUUACCAUAUCCAAACAUCCUUCUGUGACAUGAGAAAAAACACAAUUUUUUUACACAUCCUGAAGCUAUUUUUAAAAAGAUCUAAAAGCAAUAUUUUUGAAGCAUAUUGUUGAUGAAUGGGACACUUUAAUGCAUGCUGAGGGAAGGCUUUGAAGCGCUGUUGUAUGGCUUGGAAUGCAGGAUUUGGAGAGUUUGCCCCAGUUGUUUGGAAAAACUGAGUCCAGAGUUUCUAACACUCUUAAAAAGGCUUAAAGAAAUGCAAAAUCCUGUUUUCAAAUUUCCUUUUUUGGUUUUGUAUAAAUGGGUCUUUUCAGAAGGUGUCAUGCUUGUAACCUCCUUAUUCUGGGUGAAGACCUAUUCCAUCAGCCUACUGAAUUCUGAAUAUUAAGACCCUGAGCUCUAUUCCAGAUGCCGUGUGCAACAGGAAUGUUUUUUUAAAUCAUAUAUAUACAUUGAACUACAAAAAAGCUUUGGCAGAAGGGACUUAAAGAUCAUCUAGCUUCAACCUCCAUACCAUGGUCAGGGACAUCUUCCACUAGGCCAGGUUUCUCAAUACCCCACCCAACCUGGCCUUGAACACUUCUAAGGAUGGGAAAACCACCAUGCCCCACAUGAUUCAUACAGAUACAUUACAGUUCAUAAGUCCCACUACUUCAGUGGAAGUAGUCAUGCACAUACAUAUCCUAAAAUGCUGCACAGAGUGACUUCCAUGGGUAACAGAUUAAAGGACUAUGGUUUGAAGACAAAUAGAUGGGUAGAACAUUUUUUUCCUUCCUCAUAGCAAUAGGAUGUUCUUAAUUACAAGGAACUGAUUAUGAACAAAAUGCUGACAAAAACAUGGCUUCACCAAGGACAAAUCCUGCAUGAGCUACCUAGGAUUUCAAUGAUGGAGUGAUUAUAUCAGUGGAUAAAGGAAGAAUUACAGAUGUCAUCUAUCUGGACUUUGAUGUGGUCCCCACAACAUCCUUCCCUUUUAAAUUGAAGAGAGAUGGAUUUGUAAAUUGAACUAUUUGUUGGAUUGGGAGCUGGUUAGAUGGUCAUCAGCCAGUAGUGGUCAAUGUCUGAAUGUCCAGAUGGAUACCAGUGACAAGAGACAUCCCUCAGGGGUCUUUAUUUGGAAAAAUACAGUUUAAUAUCUUCAUCAGUGACACAGACGGUGGGAUCACGUACACCAUCAGCAAGUCUGCAGAUGACACCAAGCUGAGUGCUGCAGACAACACACCUGAAAGAUGGAACACCAUCCAGAGGAAUCUGGACAAGCUUGAGAAGAGGGCUCCUGGGAAACUCAUGAGGUUUAACAAGGCCAAUUGCAAGGUGAUGUACCUGGAUCACGGCAAUCUUUGGUAUAAAGGGUGCAGGAUGAAGGGAUUGCAAGGAGACCUGUGGAGAAGGACUUGGGGAUACUGGUGGAGGAAAAGCUGGGCAUGAGUCAGCAAUGUGCACUCACAGCCCAGAAAGCCUGUCAUGUCCUGGGCUGCAUCAAAAUAAGGAUGGUCUGCAGGUGAAAGGAGAUGAUUCUUUACUCUGCCCUUGUGCCCACUUGGAUCACUGUGUCCAGCUUGGGGGUCCUCAGCACAGGAAGGGCAUAGACUUGAUGGAGUGGGACCAGAGGAGGGCCAUGAAGAUGAUCAGAGGGAUGAAACACCUUUCCUGUAAGAGAGUUGGGACUGUUCAGCCUGGAGAAGGGAAAACUCUAGGGAAAUUUUAUUGAGGGUGUUAAAUAUUUAAAGGGUACAAAAAAAACCCCAAAAAUAAAACCAAAAAAAAACCCCAAAAAACCAAAAAAAAACAAAUGGGGACAAACAGUUUAGUAGAACCUGUUCACACAGGAUAAGGGGUAAUGGAUUUAAUAUAAAAGAGGGUCUAUUUAAACUGGAAAAAGAAGAAUUUUUUUACAAUGAGGGUGGUGAACCACUGAAAGAGAUUGCCCAGACAGGUGGUAGAUGCCCAGUCAGUAGAAACGUUCAAGGUCAGUUUGGCCAGCCCCGUCCAGCCCAAAGUAUUCGAUGAAUCUAUGAUUCAAAGACUUCUGGGCAGACUAAUGAAUCCUGUUUAAUACUGACCUUGAGGUGUUACAAGUAAAUGUAAGGCGCUUUAGAGAUUUAAGUACAUUUUGCUGCCUCAUAAUGUAAUUGAUCUUGUUCAAACCUCCAGAAAGGUUUGAAAAAUAUGGCAAUAUUUUUCACAUUGCAGCAGCUGCAGUGGUGUGAAACAUUAAUCAGUUCUACAUGAUUUUUAAUUAACGGUCUUCAGUGUCUAUGAGUGUACAGUGGGAGUAGUUUUCAUUUGUGCACUACUACUGUAUUUGCCUUCCUUUAAGAAAACAUGAACAGUCUAAGUCCAUAACACUGCUAAACAUGGGCUCUUAAAUAUUAAAGCAAAACUACAGUAAACUCUGUGGAUCUGCAAAACCCUCAGUCAGGGUAGUGGCAUUUGGAAAUCAUGUCUGAAUGUUGAUUCAUUAGGCAUCUCAUUUCAGAAAAGUUAGUAAUUUAAGGAGCACAUGAUGUCUCCACAUACCUCCCAAAAAGUAGAAUUGGGAUAGUAGAGAUGUCUUCAUCAAGAAGAAAAGAGCUGUUAAAACAGCAGUCCUCUGCUUAACAAAAAAGUAAUACAGUAGAAUUAUGAGUACAUGUAAAUUACUUCUUACUGAGGACACAAGUUACUGGAAACUUCUUUUUAAGGGAUAUUAUGCUUUAUCUUGGACAUGUGUAUUGCUUCAAUUAGGUAGUUUGUUCUUUAACUUGGAAGCACGAGAUUUCUCAGCAGUAUUAUUAGAGCUAGCUCUAGUUCUCAGGGCCCUGCUGCGCAGUCAGCAGGAAUAAUUUUACCAUUCUCAUUUAUGAGCCUUUGGAGCCAUAAACACCUCCCAGCUUUUCAUGAGGAGCCCUAUAACUGAAUAAGCAGUAAGUUCAUUAGCAGUCUGGCUGCAGAGAGGGAGCAGGAGAAAGUGUACUACUACAGAAAACCAUAUGCCUUCCAUGUACUAGCUGGUGCAGCCUUCUAAUGAGGACCGACAGCAAAUUCCUGCUUCAACAUCACCAUGUGAAAAAUUCAAAGAAAGUAGGUGGAGAUCAGAUAAGCAGAAUCAAAGUUUUUCUUCCCCUUUAAACAUAUAGAUGUGCAUAUACCUAACCCUUUGUCCCUUAACUGGUUCACACCCAGUUCUUGUUAGCAAUACUUAAAACUACUACAAGAUAAUGCUUCAACUUCUGUAAGAUGUUCCUUUCCGUGUGGAUGGAGAGUGACAUCACAAAUUCCAUGACCACACACAGUUUGUCUUAAAGACUGUUUAACACCAUGGUCACAGUCUCUUUCAUGAUAAAGAAAUGGCAUAACUGUAGUGUAAACAUAACUGGCUGUAGAGCAAUACAUCUUUCAGUCUCUGUUAGAAGAUGAGUGGUUAAACUUUAAAUAAGAUGUGCUCUUCUGCUGGUGUAAUAAAUUGUGUUCCUGCUUCU